UACGUAGGCAGCGAGCGUUGUUCGGAAUUACUGGGCGUAAAGAGUGUGUAGGCGGUGCUCUAAGUUCGGUGUGAAAUCUCCUGCUUAACUGGGAGGGUGCGCCGGAAACUGGAGUGCUCGAACGUGGGAGAGGAAAGCGGAAUUCCUGGUGUAGCGGUGAAAUGCGCAGAUAUCAGGAAGAACACCCGUGGCGAAGGCGGCUCUCUGGUACGUGACUGACGCUGAGACGCGAAAGCGUGGGGAGCGAACAGG
rnacentral:rRNA from 1 species